GUUUAAUUUAGGCCCUCUGCACACGGAGCGUAUCGUCAUAGACGCGUACAAGAUUCGACUUGCAGUUGACGAUAUGCGUACGCCUGCACAUCCACACACGAAGCGUACUAUAAGCAUACAGAUUUCGUUCAUUCAAGAUGGCAUCCAAUAGUGAUUAUGAUGAUGAUAUAUUUUAUUUUUGUCGUCGCCGAAAAAGGAGGAAAAUAACACGAUUUUGGGUUCAUCCUUAUAUUGAAAGAAAUGUAAAUAGAUUGUUUAUUACUGCUAGGGAAUUAUCAGAUGAUGCAAAAUUUCAAACAUUUUAUAGAAUGACUAAAAAUACAUUUCGAGAACUUGUUCAAAUUGUAAGUCCUUUCUAUUCAAAGACAAAAUAGUAACA
rnacentral:lncRNA from 1 species